AUUUUCUUAAAUUAUUAGUUUAUUAAUAUUUAUUUUAAAAAUAAUUUUUUGUUUAUGAAAUUUCUAAUAAAUUAUUUAAAAUUUAAACUGUGGGGGAGGUUUAAUUUAUUUUUUUAUAGAAAAUUUUUAAAAAGAAAAUUUUUUUAUUAUACCUUUUGUAUCAGGGUUAAUUAACUUUUUUUUAAUUAAUUUAAUUUUCCCGAAGAUUUAAGAGUUUAGUUUAUUUGAUUUUAAUUAUUUCAUAACUUUUAACAAAAUAAAUUAAGAUUUGAAAUGAAAAUCGUUUAAUUUGAUAUCUGGUUAUUUUGUAAAUAAAUUUAAUUUAGGUGAUUCUUUUGUAAAAUUUCUUUUUACUUUUAUUUUUUGUCACAAAUUUAAUUUGGGUUAAUCUAAUUUAAUUUUUAUAAUUUUUUUAUGGGGGGGGUAAAGGAAUUGUAGGAUUAAAAUUUUUUUUCUUAAUAAAUUUGUUUUAAAUUAUUCUUUUUGUAUUUAUUUAUUUAGUUUUAGACAAAAUUUUUUUAUACAAUUAAUUUUUUAAUAAAUUAUGAUUAAAUUAGUAAAUUUAAAUUUUUUUUAUAUGAAUUAGGCAAAAAGCUUUUCUGUCUGUUUAUCAAAAACAUUUCUUUUAGUUUAAUAUUAAAAGUUGGGCCUGCUCAGUGAAUUUUUUAAAUAGCUGCAGUAUUUUAACUGUACAAAGGUAGCAUAAUAAUUAGUCUUUUAAUUGAGGUCUAGAAUGAAUGGUUUAACAAGAGAAACACUUUAUUUAACUAAUUGAAUUGAAUUUUAUUUUUUAGUUAAAAAGCUAAAAUUUUUAAAUGGGACGAUAAGACCCUAUAGAUCUUUAAAUUUUUUUAAGAAUAAAUUUAUUAUGGGUUAAUUAAAAUUUUUAAUAAAAAUUUUUUGUUGGGGUGACAAAUAAAAUUUUAAAACUUUAUUUUUUAGUUACAUAAAUUUAUGUAUUUUCAAGAUCUUAAAUUUUGGAUUUUAAAAAUAAGAUACCUUAGGGAUAACAGCGUAAUAGAUUUGUAUAGUUCAUAUAGAUAAAUUUGUUUACGACCUCGAUGUUGAAUUAAUAAAAAUUUUUGGAGUAGAAGUUAAAAUUUUAGGUCUGUUCGACCUUUAAAAUAUUACAUGAUUUGAGUUCAAACCGGUGUAAGCCAGGUUGGUUUCUAUCUAUUUAAAACUAAUUUAAUUAGUACGAAAGGACUUUUAAAGUUGGAAAAUUUUCU
rnacentral:rRNA from 1 species